UAAUAAUACCAGCGCCCAGCGCGUUCGAAACUGCUUGCACGACCCCAACCUCUCUGCGGCGGCGCGGCCUGCUCCCUCCGGUCGCCAUGGACUACACGCUCGCGGCGCUGAAGAUCUUCGGCUCCCAGCUCGCCGGCUCCACCGAGGCGCCGUCCUCGGAGGGCUCCUCCCCCGCGCAGAUGCUAUUUGGCAUCCGCUUCCAGCGCGCCUGGAUGCAGGGUGUGCUCCUGUCGGCGAACUACAACGAAGCCGGCGAAGGGCGUCUUGUGCUGGAUGAUGGCUCCUGCGUCGCCGACCUCUUCGUCUUGCCCAAAGAAGCCGAGGGCCGGCUGUGGCAGCCAGGGAUGUAUGUAAUGGUUAUUGGGGCAUACAUUGCAGAACAAUCUAAAGACAAUUAUCCAGCUAUCAAGGUGUCAUCUCCCUCCCUCGAUAUCUCAUCUCUAUCCCUGUCUUCUUGCAUGCCUUGUUCCAUAUUUACCGAGAAUUGGAGGUAUCCUGUUUGUGACUUGACUUCUAUAUUGUUUAAUGUGAUUGCAUAUUCCAUUUUGAAUGAUUCAAAAAGUUCAAUUCAGCAAACAUAAGGGUGCGAAGUGGUUACCCUAAGGUCACAACUGACCUGUUUAGUUUAAUUAAUUGAACAUUAUUUUCCACCCUAAGCAAAAACCUGCCUGGUCAAACCUUGCUGGUUCUUCCUUGAAUAAGAGGAAAUUGAAAAGAAAAGCCAUAUGUAAUUUUCUCCUCUUAGGUUAAGACUUAAGCCUAUCGCUCAAUAUGCUAAGACAUACCAGUGCUGAAGUACUAAAAGUUUAUUGGUUUCAGUGGUGGGAGCUGUUUAGCAUCUAACUUGGACAAUGUUCAGGGUGCUGUCCGUUUUCCUUUCAUAAAUUUUCAUAUAGCAUGCAUGUCACUCCUAAAUUUUAAAGAUAUUUGGUUAAGCAGGUUUAGAAGAAUUUCCUUCAAUCAUUUCUGGGAAAAAGGAGAAAUGAUAAUACCUGUGGACAUUACAUCAUUUUAUUCUGUUUUGACAUGUGAUGUUUCAGAUGCUUAUUUAGAUCCACUAAUGAAGUGCUCUGGUGCAUAAGAUGGUCGACCUCUCUGACCAGACGGACCGAGAAGCAAUGUGGUACAUGGAAGUAGCUGAGGCGUACAACUUAUUCUACUUGCCAUUCUCGGUUGCUUGUCCUCCUUCAUGAGCACUGGCCCUUUGAUCUCCAG